rnacentral:lncRNA from 1 species
AAAAUAUGAUUUUAAAAUCUAUAAUUUUUACUGCUUAAGUCAUUCAUUACAUAUUCUUUGGCUUGAUGUAGGCUCUUGGACUUGUGAGACGAUGGAAUCAGGCGCUUCAUACAAGUUUGAUGUGGAUAUUCCAAUUCACUUUUUGGUAACAUAUCAAUGCUCAUUAGUUAUUGUGUUUCAUUGUGAUAAUACUAGGAUUAGUAUUAUCCAUAUCUUCCAUUUGUGUUAAUUAGGAUUUUCAUUUUAAACAGCUGCGGGGAUACAUAAUGUAUCUGAACACUUCAUGAAGGAAAAUCCAAACUGGAUGGCUCCAGAGGUAUGCUCUUAUGUCUUCACAUUAUUUAAUUGCAUGUAUUCUCCUAACGAUAUCUUCUCAUGCCAUUCAUUUUAUCUCUUUCUGUGUAUAGAAAAUGUUGGGGGGAACAUAUAGAGAGCUUUCUUACUUGUGAUCGAUUAUUAGUCUGCUGUUGCACCAUUUUGGAUUUGUCUAUCCAUUGCUUGAAAAGAAAUCUCCAUGGAACAAAUUGAAAGUGGAAUUGUGCUAAUUAGAUGGAGGAGUGGAUUACUGGUGUAAGGGUGGGAAAUUUAAAAUUCGGGAC